GCUUAACUCCAAAGAAGAAGAUGAUGAAUGUCUCCUUGGCUCAUUCAAAACACUCUCUCUCCACCUUAAUACCCUCCAAGCUUCACCAAAACCUCCCCCCUCCAAUCCAUCCCAACAAAAAUUAAAUGAAUCCAUAAGAUUAGGACCCAAAUAGAACAAAAACAUGACCACCAUUUCUUCCUUCCUUGCCACUAGUAACACCCCCCUCUCUUCGCACCCUUCAACUUCUACUCAUGCUUCCAAAGUCUCUCACUUUCCUUCGUUGAAUCCAUCCCUUUUCUCUAAAUCUCCUUCAUGUCCUUAUCCUCUAUGUAAGUUUCCAAGAAAACCCAAAAGAAUAGUUUCUUUAAAAUCAUCAGAAGCAGGGGAGAUAUCAUCAACAGGAUAUGAGUGGCUACAAACACUCCCUGACAAGAAAAAGCCUCUGUACUCUCAUAGUUUGCCUUGCAUUGAAGCUUGGUUGAAGGGUUUGGGGUUUUACCAAAGCAAGGAGAGCCGUGCUAUUUGGUUUGUUGAGAAACCUGAUUGGCAUGCUCAGUUAUCACUUGAUGUCACUGAUCUUUAUAUAAGACCUUCAAUCUUCAAUUGAACUAUGUACAAUUGAAGUUUCUCUACCAUCAAUCUUCUAAAAUAUCAAGGUGAUGGCACCUAUUCAAGAGUAAGACCAAUGCAAUGAUGACAUUGUGCUCAUUGAAUCUUGGUUGGGAUUCAAUAAAAGGAAAGGAAUGGUGGAGAAAGCUGGAUAACUUUAAGUGGGAAACAAGGUACUUGAAGAAUGGACCAGGGAAUCUUGAAAAGGAUGUGGAGAGGAGAUUCAGUUAAGCAUUGAGCAGAGAAGAUAUAGAAAAUGCCACUCUUGGAGGACCAUAAAGAAAAUGAAAGUGAUCAUUUUAUCUUUUGAAUGGUCUCACUGUUUAUUCAUGGGAAUAUCUCAUAGGACUUGCAUGGUGUUCAUUCUAUAUCCUCAUUCUGAGCAUACGCUCUCCUUUUUUAAAAAAAAUAAAAUAAAAUUCUUUUGAUGCAUCCCAAGUUGUCCAAUUCCUUCUCAAUGGGCUUUGAUGAUUGAUAAAUGCAUCCGACUUUGGUCUCUGGUCUUGAUCAAGCAUGCUCUCUUUUUGCUUCACCAUUCAUCGUUGGAAAACAGAGGAACAUGUUAUUACGCUAUCAGAAUCUACAGCUUCUGCAUCAUUUUUCAGGACAAAAGCAACGGCAAAAGAGGAAGGAAGGAAGCAAAAAGCUUAUAGUUCAAGUUUCAGUAGCACCACCUUUUGUAUUCUUCGUAGAGCUCCUGGAUUCAACUCCAGAUGAUGGUUAUCACUGAUGAUUUUGACAGUGGGAUUUCCCAGUAUCUAUCCACACUAAUGAGUUAGCUGCAGGAGUGUGGAUAGAUACAGGGAAAUCAGAGUGGAGUGGCGGCAGGCCUGCAACCUGAUGCUCUUACAAAAAGUGGCCAAUUUCAAUGAAUUGCCAAGAAGAAUUUGCGGAACUCGAUAUUUGAAUACAAGUACAGAACUGAUGUUAGGAACUUCAGUUCCUCCUUCACAUUUCUCCCUCCCCAGACCUACAGUAUUGUUGUAAUACUAUACGACCUAAACGACAAUUUCAGUAAAAAAAAUUUUCCCUUUACCUCACCAA